GCGGAGGCGGGGGCGGGGCGGGGUUCCCGCUGCGUGUGUCCGCAAGGUAUCCGCACCCGCAAGUCAGUUUCUCUGGCCGCCGAGGGUGGAGCUCGUGGGGGAUCCACGCUGUCUAAAUCGGGGAAUUCUAUAACGACCACUGCAGACUCGAUCCUGAACUUAAACUGGGCGGACUCGAUCCUGAACUUAAAUACUAGGCAUUAACAGUAUGAUUAUUCCGAUUUACGAUACCCUCUGUUAUUACUCCCCCGCCAUCAUCUCCAGUAUUAGAUACAAGUGACAUUCGCAAAGAACCAAUGAAUAUCUACAACCUUAAUGCCAUGCUCCGGGACCAUCUCAAACAUCUGCAGAAAGCCGUGGACCGGUCCUUGCAACUGUCUCGUCAAGGAGCUGCAGACCCCGUGGUCGAUAAAGACAAGAAAGCCCUAAUGAAAGAGAUCCUCAAGUUCAAGUCCCUACUGAGCACCAAACGGGAGCAGAUCGCCACACUGAGGGCGGUGCUGAGAGCCAACAAACAGGUGAUCUCAUUCUACUGACCCCGCAACCCACCGGCCGCCGCUCUCUCGCAGCGAGUCUCAGCUCUGCCUGCACUUUGGAAUAAACUGGAGCGCUUUUCAGCCCUGCAGAGCUGGAUGCCGCCACUGCGAAGUCUCAGCUGGUCACAAGAUCUGUAACCUUCGCACCUUCCAGCGCCCACGCCUUCAGUCUAUUUCGUCGGUGCUCAUGUGAUCCCAGGUGGCUUCGGUGACCGCGCAGGUUUGCUCUUGGAGCUCCAAGGUACCCUGAGUCCACCAUGCUGUAAGGAAGCCAAAGCUAGCCACAUUCAGAGGUCCUGCGAAGAAACCCAUGCCCAGCCAGCACCCAGUGGUUCCAGCCAUCCUGGGCCAAGUGCCUAAUGUAUGAAUGAAGACCCCUUCACGUGACCUCAGCCUCAGAAGCCAUCUGACUACAGCUGCAUGAGUGGCCCCAAUAAGAGCUGCCCAGAUAAACCCAUCAACCCCCAAACCGUGAGAAAUGACAGUAAAUUAUUGUUUUGAUCCGAUAAGUUUUGAGGUGAUUUGUGACACAGCAAGAUAACUAGAACACAUCUAGACUCCCGGCUCUUCAGAAGACUGUUGUGCAACUUUUCCUUCCAGUUUCAAAAGAGUCCCCUUAUUCCACCAUUAUAGUUUUUUUGAAAAUUUAUUUUGCUGCAUUGGGCCUUAGUUGGAGCACUCAGAAUCUUUGAUCUUCAUUGUGGCAUGCAGGAUCUAGUUCCCUGACCCGGGCUAGAAUCCACUCCCCUGCAUUGGGAGCAUAGAGUCUUAAGAUACUGUACAACCAAGAAAGUCCCAUCCUUCAUGAAUAAUUAUAAUACUGCCUUGUGUUCUGGUAGCACAUAAAGAGUUACUAGCACGCUAAUUGUGCAUUGUCUCAUCUGUUUUUCAUGUACCUCUGUUUCUCAUCUACAAAAUGAGGUUAUAAGUUCCUUUCAUCAUGCAGUUGACAGAAGGUAAAAAUGAAUUAAUACCUGUAAAGCACUUCAAGUAUUGACUAGCAAAAAGUAAAGGCUCAAUGAGUAUAGCUUUUGUUAUUAAAAAAAAGAAAUCUAUCAAUAAUAGUCCUGUGAGGUAGAUGAGACCGUUAGCCUUAAAUAGGUUAAAUCAGAGACUGCAAAGUGGCCAAAAAGGCCAAAGUUGGCCUGCCCAAUUUAAGCAAAUAUUUGAAUCAACUGUAGCUAUUUCAAAACCUGAUGGAUUUCAUAUGAAUGUCUAUAAUUCUGGCUUAUUGCAAAAAUGGGACUGUCUCUUAGCACUGGGCCUGCAUUCCUGCAAGGUUGCCUGCUGGCUCUUGCUGGCCAGUAACUUUGCCCAUUCCUGUGGAGCCUGUGCUCUCCAGCCCAGCAUUGCCCCAGACUUCCCACACUCACAUCCACAACUUGUGUUUAUUUACACAGCUUGCCUAGCCCUUAUGGACAUGGGAAUCUGUAAUUCAAGGAAGACAGGAAAGAUGAAGAAAGAGAGAGAAGAAGCAUAAAUCCAGCAAGCAGACAUGUUCUUUUCUGACCGUAGCUACAUUGGCAAAUCCUUUAAUAAUCAAAAAGUGCUUUAUUCUGUAGGAGGACCAAAUCCACCUUUGUAGAACUGGAACCUAUUUCAACCAUUGAGACAAAACAAAUGUUCAAGUCAUGGACGUGUUUUUUUCAAAAGCUUGCAAAAUCCUAUUUCUUGUCUUGGAGAUGCUGUCUCUCUUUAGGGAGAACUUUGGGAUGUCUAGGAGAAGGCAAUGACACCCCACUCCAGUACUCUU